CCGAGCGAAAUGUUAAUAUUUAGUGUUAGGGGAGAAUCUCAAACAAUAUAACGACUACGUAGACUUACUACGACGACGGAUUUUAUAUGGAAAUGGUAAAAUAUAACGUGCCUCAGAGAGGGUAUGCAUUUUCAACAGAGCCUUCAGGUGUUUGUUAAGGACGGAGGACGGAAGGUGACAGUUUGAGUGUUUAAGGACGGAAGUUUGAUUUAGGUGAAGCUUGAGGGCGCCGGACCACCCCCACCUAGACUUAAGUUUCGGUUUCUUGCGAACUAAGUACCGAAUGAGAGACAUGGAUGUGAUCUGUCUCAGUUCAGACGACUCUAACGAUGA